GACGAACGCUGGCGGCGUGGAUUAGGCAUGCAAGUCGAACGGUAGGAUACCCUCGGGUAUCUGAGAGUGGCGAACGGGUGAGUAACACGUAGGUGAUCUACCCUCAAGAUUGGGACAACCCAGGGAAACUUGGGCUAAUACCGGAUGAAAGCAGCAGUGAUGUUGUUUGAAAGGUGGCGUAAGCUGCCGUUUGGGGAUGAGCCUGCGCUCUAUUAGUUAGUUGGCGGGGUAAAGGCCCACCAAGGCGAUGAUAGAUAGGCGGCCUUAACGGGUGGUCGCCCACACUGGGAUUGAGAUACGGCCCAGACUCCUACGGGAGGCAGCAGUCGAGAAUAGUCUACAAUGGCCGAAAGGCUGAUAGUGCGACGCCGCGUGAACGAAGAAGCCCUUCGGGGUGUUAAAGUUCUUUUAUAUGUGAGCAGUGCUUUCAUGUGAACAGCAGUGGGGAGAGAGAUAUUAGCAUAUGAAUAAGCAACGGCUAACCUCGU
rnacentral:rRNA from 1 species